GAUGAACGCUGGCGGCGUGCUUAACACAUGCAAGUCGAACGAAGCACUUUAACCUGAUUCUUCGGAUGAAGGUUUUUGUGACUGAGUGGCGGACGGGUGAGUAACGCGUGGAUAACCUGCCUCAUACAGGGGGAUAACAGUUAGAAAUGACUGCUAAUACCGCAUAAGACCACGGAGCCGCAUGGCUCAGUGGGAAAAACUCCGGUGGUAUGAGAUGGACCCGCGUCUGAUUAGGUAGUUGGUGGGGUAACGGCCUACCAAGCCAACGAUCAGUAGCCGACCUGAGAGGGUGACCGGCCACAUUGGGACUGAGACACGGCCCAAACUCCUACGGGAGGCAGCAGUGGGGAAUAUUGCACAAUGGGGGAAACCCUGAUGCAGCGACGCCGCGUGAGCGAAGAAGUAUUUCGGUAUGUAAAGCUCUAUCAGCAGGGAAGAAAAUGACGGUACCUGACUAAGAAGCACCGGCUAAAUACGUGCCAGCAGCCGCGGUAAUACGUAUGGUGCAAGCGUUAUCCGGAUUUACUGGGUGUAAAGGGAGCGUAGACGGCUGUGUAAGUCUGAAGUGAAAGCCCGGGGCUCAACCCCGGGACUGCUUUGGAAACUAUGCAGCUAGAGUGUCGGAGAGGUAAGUGGAAUUCCCAGUGUAGCGGUGAAAUGCGUAGAUAUUGGGAGGAACACCAGUGGCGAAGGCGGCUUACUGGACGAUGAC
rnacentral:rRNA from 1 species